rnacentral:rRNA from 2 species
ACGGAAGGCAGCAGUGGGGAAUAUUGCACAAUGGGCGAAAGCCUGAUGCAGCGACGCCGCGUGAGUGAUGAAGUAUUUCGGUAUGUAAAGCUCUAUCAGCAGGGAAGAAAAUGACGGUACCUGACUAAGAAGCCCCGGCUAACUACGUGCCAGCAGCCGCGGUAAUACGUAGGGGGCAAGCGUUAUCCGGAUUUACUGGGUGUAAAGGGAGCGUAGGUGGCAAGGCAAGCCAGAAGUGAAAAUCCGGGGCUCAACCCCGGAACUGCUUUUGGAACUGUCUAGCUAGAGUGCAGGAGAGGUAAGCGGAAUUCCUAGUGUAGCGGUGAAAUGCGUAGAUAUUAGGAGGAACACCAGUGGCGAAGGCGGCUUACUGGACUGUAACUGACACUGAGGCUCGAAAGCGUGGGGAGCAAACAGGAUUAGAUACCCUGGUA